GCGCGUCUGAUGGUAAUUGAAGUGAAUUAUUACGCAUGAUGUUUCAAAAUUGUAAUUUUUGUAUUUAUUUGAUAUAUUUAUAUUUAUUAUUAAGUUAUAUAACUUAGUUUUGAUUGCACCUUUAAAUAUUUUUGCUAAUUUCAUGAAUUUCGCUGACGGACAGUUACUGUUUUGUUACGACAGUUAAAGGCUGUUUUUAGAAGAAAAUCACCAGAGAUGAUAGUUGUGAAAAGCGUGCCUCAUACACGAGGCAAGCUAGGCUCAGGUUGCAUCACCUACGAGCCCUACAAGCGAGCGAAGUUGUGAAGGCGCACCAGGCACAAGGCCCAUUGGUCCAAGGCGCACUAUACACAAAUUUUCAAUCCCUC
rnacentral:lncRNA from 1 species